UACGAAGGGGGCUAGCGUUGCUCGGAAUCACUGGGCGUAAAGGGUGCGUAGGCGGGUCUUUAAGUCAGGGGUGAAAUCCUGGAGCUCAACUCCAGAACUGCCUUUGAUACUGAGGAUCUUGAGUUCGGGAGAGGUGAGUGGAACUGCGAGUGUAGAGGUGAAAUUCGUAGAUAUUCGCAAGAACACCAGUGGCGAAGGCGGCUCACUGGCCCGAUACUGACGCUGAGGCACGAAAGCGUGGGGAGGCGAACG
rnacentral:rRNA from 1 species